rnacentral:rRNA from 1 species
UAGGGAAUAUUGCUUAAUGGGCGAAAGCCUGAAGCAGCAACGCCGCGUGUGUGAAGAGGGCCUUCGGGUUGUAAAACACUUUUUGAGGGAAUGAGGAAGGACAGUACCCUCAGAAUAAGCCUCGGCUAACUACGUGCCAGCAGCCGCGGUAAAACGUAGGAGGCGAGCGUUAUCCGGAUUUACUGGGCGUAAAGCGCGUGCAGGCGGCACGGCAAGUUGGAUGUGAAAGCUCCCGGCUUAACUGGGAGAGGUCGUUCAAAACUGCCGAGCUAGAGUGCGGGAGAGGGAGGUGGAAUUCCGGGUGUAGUGGUGAAAUGCGUAGAUAUCCGGAGGAACACCAGUGGCGAAAGCGGCCUCCUGGUCCGCAACUGACGCUCAGACGCGAAAGCUAGGGUAGCGAACGG